CUUCCCCUUUGAAGAGUGAAGGGAUUGAAAUAGACAAAUACAAAAGGAUAUUAUCUACUGUGCCACAACUGGAGAACAGAGAGACAACGGAGGGCAUUUCCAAGGUUCAUAGAGAAGUCAGAUUCUGAUCAAGCUCCAGUAGACAGCUGCUGCCAACCUGCUGAGGAGGCCAGAGCUGCAUACAGAGCCUGAUUGGUUGGUCAUGCCACAAUCUCAGGGCUGUGAGGCACUUGUAAGUCAUCGGGUCCAACCCACACAUGAUGUCUGGGUCCCUCUGUACUGUGGCCAUUCAUCCUCAGCUCCAAUGACUUCAAGGGAAGGAGUCUGUCGUGAGUCAUAAUUCCUGAUGUGCCUUCUUCCAUCUCUGGACAAAUACAUUCUUCACAAUUUUUUGUUUGUUUCCAGGCA